rnacentral:rRNA from 1 species
GAUGAACGCUGGCGGCGUGCCUAAUACAUGCAAGUCGAGCGAACGGACGAGAAGCUUGCUUCUCUGAUGUUAGCGGCGGACGGGUGAGUAACACGUGGAUAACCUACCUAUAAGACUGGGAUAACUUCGGGAAACCGGAGCUAAUACCGGAUAAUAUUUUGAACCGCAUGGUUCAAAAGUGAAAGACGGUCUUGCUGUCACUUAUAGAUGGAUCCGCGCUGCAUUAGCUAGUCGGUAAGGUAACGGCUUACCAAGGCAACGAUGCAUAGCCGACCUGAGAGGGUGAUCGGCCACACUGGAACUGAGACACGGUCCAGACUCCUACGGGAGGCAGCAGUAGGGAAUCUUCCGCAAUGGGCGAAAGCCUGACGGAGCAACGCCGCGUGAGUGAUGAAGGUCCUCGGAUCGUAAAACUCUGUUAUUAGGGAAGAACAUAUGUGUAAGUAACUGUGCACAUCUUGACGGUACCUAAUCAGAAAGCCACGGCUAACUACGUG